rnacentral:rRNA from 1 species
UACGGAGGGUGCGAGCGUUGUCCGGAAUCACUGGGCGUAAAGGGCGCGUAGGCGGCGCGGGCAGUCAACGGUGAAAGCUCGGGGCUCAACUCCGAGUCGGCCGUCGAUACUCCCGCGCUCGAGCACUGUAGAGGCAGGUGGAAUUCCGGGUGUAGCGGUGGAAUGCGUAGAUAUCGGGAGGAACACCAGUGGCGAAGGCGGUUACCUGGAGCUUUGCUGACGCUGAUGCGCGAAAGCGUGGGGAGCGAUCCGG